rnacentral:tRNA from 1 species
GCGAUAGCUUAGUCGAUAGAGCACUGGCCCGGCAAGCGGAAUGUUGCCGGUUCGAUUCCGGCACGCG